UACGAAGGGGGCUAGCGUUGCUCGGAAUCACUGGGCGUAAAGCGCACGUAGGCGGAUCUUUAAGUCAGGGCUGAAAUCCUGGAGCUCAACUCCAGAACUGCCUUUGAUACUGGGGAUCUCGAGUCCGGGAGAGGUGAGUGGAACUGCGAGUGUAGAGGUGAAAUUCGUAGAUAUUCGCAAGAACACCAGUGGCGAAGGCGGCUCACUGGCCCGGUACUGACGCUGAGGUGCGAAAGCGUGGGGAGCAAACAGG
rnacentral:rRNA from 1 species